UUGAAAGGGAAACGAUUGAAGUCAGUCGUACCUAUGGGUAAUCAGCCUUUUGGGUGUGAUUUUGUGGAGCGUGAGGAGUUAAACGCCUUCAUGCCUGCAUAUUCGUGCACUUUGGGUGUACUUGCCCGUAUGGUUGGUUAACAUCAAUUUUGGUGGUCAUAAAAUGACUGGAGGAAUGUAGCUUCGAUCUCGUAUUGAAGUGUUAUAGCCUUCGGUAGAUGUGAUGAUCGAGAUUGAGGAUUGCAACGGAUACCUUUCGGGGCUACCUGUCUGAUCUCUGAUCGUUGCUUUGGUGCUGAAAGCGUGCUUAUAGUUAUCAAAGUCGAUGGUCAAUAGGUUAGAAUGGGUUAAAUUCGUUAAGGAUGUUGACGUA
rnacentral:rRNA from 1 species